CUUCACCCUGUGGCCUCUGACCCGGGAGGAUCCGCGGCUGGGCGGCUGAGUCUUCGCCGCUGAAUCUCGGGGGGCUGCCUGCCCCACUCCGUCAUGGAGACCGCCGGCACCCCUGAGGCUCCGGGGACAGAUUAAAAUGGUGGCUUGCUAAGGAUGAGGACUCCACUUCCGGUGGGGAGGGGGCGGGACCCCAGCCCGCUCACGCCGGAAGUGGUUCGGGUUCUCAAGAUGGCGACUCCCUAUGUAACUGACGAGACCGGCGCUACACCUCAGGAUCACUCCUUCCUGGACCUCAUCUGUGACACUACUUUCCUUGCAGGUAUUCCCCUCACCUAGCUCCCUUACCAGUCACCAUUUGACUGUCUCAAGUCCACAGAGGCAGCUUUUUGCCCCCGUUAGGUUUUCUGGUUCCAUGUGUGUGUGAAUGUGUGUACCAGCCUGUGUGCACGUGCAUGUGUGGGGACAGGUCCACAUGCAUGUGGAGGCCAGCUGUUGAUGCCAGGUGUCUUCCUCGAUCCCUCCCCACCUUAUAUCUCAGGCAGGAUCUUUGAGUGUAACCCAGAGUCUGGUGAUUCAGCUAGUCUAGCGAGCCAGUUUGCAAUGGGGAUCCCGUCUCUAUCUCCCAAGUGCUGGGAUUAUAGG